rnacentral:rRNA from 1 species
CACGUAGGCGGCCAUUCAAGUCAGAGGUGAAAGCCCGGGGCUCAACCCCGGAACUGCCUUUGAAACUAGAUGGCUUGAAUCUUGGAGAGGCGAGUGGAAUUCCGAGUGUAGAGGUGAAAUUCGUAGAUAUUCGGAAGAACACCAGUGGCGAAGGCGACUCGCUAGACAAGUAUUGACGCUGAGGUGCGAAAGCGUGGGGAGCAAACA